AGUGAACGCUGGCGGUAGGCCUAACACAUGCAAGUCGAACGGCAGCACAGUAAGAGCUUGCUCUUACGGGUGGCGAGUGGCGGACGGGUGAGGAAUACAUCGGAAUCUACUUUUUCGUGGGGGAUAACGUAGGGAAACUUACGCUAAUACCGCAUACGACCUACGGGUGAAAGCAGGGGAUCUUCGGACCUUGCGCGAUUGAAUGAGCCGAUGUCGGAUUAGCUAGUUGGCGGGGUAAAGGCCCACCAAGGCGACGAUCCGUAGCUGGUCUGAGAGGAUGAUCAGCCACACUGGAACUGAGACACGGUCCAGACUCCUACGUUGGGCAGCAGUGGGGAAUAUUGGACAAUGGGCGCAAGCCUGAUCCAGCCAUACCGCGUGGGUGAAGAAGGCCUUCGGGUGGUAAAGCCCUUUUGUUGGGAAAGAAAAGCAGCAGGUUAAUACCCCGCUGUUCUGACGGUACCCAAAGAAUAAGCACCGGCUAACUUCGUG
rnacentral:rRNA from 1 species